AGGAAGACUUUGCCAUUCUAUCAUCAGUGGCAUAGUCAGCAUAAUUUGCAAAGCCAAGCAAUCUAGCAAGUUUGUGACGCAACUGAAUCAGCUGUUCAAGGAUAGUAACAUUGGCUUCACAUCUGUGCCCAUAAGAAAUAGCAACAGCUCUUCUGGUUGAUCCAACCUUGCAAAGCUCCAGAACUGGUGAAAUUUGAUGGCUU
rnacentral:misc_RNA from 1 species